rnacentral:rRNA from 1 species
UACGAAGGGUGCAAGCGUUACUCGGAAUUACUGGGCGUAAAGCGUGCGUAGGUGGUUUGUUAAGUCUGUUGUGAAAGCCCCGGGCUCAACCUGGGAAUGGCAAUGGAUACUGGCAGGCUAGAGUGCGGUAGAGGGUAGUGGAAUUCCCGGUGUAGCGGUGAAAUGCGUAGAGAUCGGGAGGAACACCAGUGGCGAAGGCGGCUACCUGGACCAGCACUGACACUGAGGCACGAAAGCGUGGGAGCAAACAGGG